GACUUUAUACUUUAAAAUAAAAGAUCUGAUUUGCAUUCAGAAAAUAAGUUUUUAUAACUUUAAGGUCA
rnacentral:tRNA from 1 species